rnacentral:piRNA from 1 species
UCACUGAUCACUGAUGUGCUUGCGCCGAU